CAGCGGUUUCAGCUGUGGUGACCAUUUUGGGUUGCAUGUAGGGGUGAGGAGGCAGUGUGGGCAGAGGGUCUGCUGCAGGAGGAGAUCAGCUUGGAAUGUUGCCUUCUCUGGACUUGUGGGAGUGAUCCAGACAGCAUCCAGAAAAGUGGCACUGCCCAUGAGACAAAGUGCAGCAACAAAUCUGAGGUGCUAAGACUGCUUAGGAGGCUCUUCAUCCAACAGCUGCUCCUACUCGCUUCUUGAACCCAGCACUACAAAGCAGUUGAGGUCUAGGAGCACAUCCUCAGCUGUAGAUACGCAGGGACCCUCUCAUCACAACUCUCUGGGAUGUACGGACUGGAGAAAGCAACCAGUUUCUGCUGUGAAUCAGGAUGAAGUUCACCACUUGGAUGCAAGAGUCCUGCUUUAUAAAACACUACAAGACUGCAUCCUCCACCAGGCUCUUAACAUAACCCAUGUUCUACCUACGCUGUGUGGGAUGUUCAGACAAAUAAUGGCCCUCAGCAGAUGCCUUUGUCAUAAUGAGUGUGAUGGUUUAAUAUUUAUGGAAGAACUGAGGACUUUUUUUUUCCAUGCCUGCUUUAAAACCCCAAGAAGUGUUUUGCCAGCUUGAAGGACUGCAUGUAGAUGAAACCUUGUGAGGAGUGAAUGGAGUUACAGAGACUGUUCUAUGCUGCUUCCAAAUGAUGGGAGGGGGUUUAUUGUAGGCUCACAGGAUGUUAGGGGUUGGAAAGGACCUCUUGAGAUCAAGUCCAUCCCCCCUGCCAGGAGGUGACCUGUAUUAUUAUUCCCCUUCCUUCUGCCUGUCCUAUUUUUUAUAGGAAGCAGCAGAGAGCCUGAUAACUGAGGCUGAUUAUCCUCACUUAGGUAGAGCUGAUGAAGUGAUAGAGAAUUACUACUUUUUUUAUUGCCUAAGCUGAGGUGAGAGAACCUGAAAUCUGGCCUCUAUGGGAAUGGAUUUGCACCAUGACUUGUGUUCACCUCCUGGGACAGCUGAUCCACUUUGGCUGUUCUCCCACCUGUUCCUCUGCCUCCCCAAGCUGGUUUUCACUGAGCUUUAGACCUGCAUUGAAUUUUAUGACUAUGCUAUAGUAUUUCUGACAUUUUUCCUUUAGUUGUAGAAUAUAUAGGCUAAAAAUAAAGGAAAAUAUCAUAACUCACAAA